ACCGGCAGCCAUAUCACCCUGUAGCCCAAGACUGGUUACCCACUGAAGCUGAGCCUGGUUAGAACCUGGAUGGGAGACCUUCUGGGAAAACUAGGUUGCUGUUGGAA
rnacentral:rRNA from 1 species